rnacentral:lncRNA from 1 species
CCUGGAUCCCGCCGUCACAUCCUGCCGGCAUGCCCCUGUCCCCCCACUGCUGCUAGCCACCGCGGCGCACACCAGAUUCGUCCGCCGCCAUGGACAGCCACCUGCUAGGCGAAUCACCAGCAUCUUCGUACUAGGAAAAAAACUCUAGCAGUGUUCAGUUAUUCUGAUUUCUUUCAGCAGUUCAAUGUAUGUUACACAAGAAGAAGAAACUAACAGUAGGUUGUAGAUGUUCUGUUUUGUGAUUUUCGUAGACUUGCAGCAAUUUAGAUGUUUGCAAGUCAAACAUAGUUCUCUUUGCUUCUGUUGAUUUUCUUGGCACAUCAGGAUUGUACUCUUUGGCAGGUCAAACAGAGUUCUCGUGGUAGGUCAAACAAAGAUGUCUGUGGAGCCGUCUCUGCUAGUCGACAUCCCCAUCUACCACACAUUAUGUUCCUGUUAUCGCCACAAAAACAUAGCACAACAAGACUAAAGUGCUAGUCGUCCACCUCCUCGAGCACCUCGUUGCUUCCUCUUUGCUUUUUGAGAAAUCUACACGAACCCUAUAUUGUGCCAUACUUCUACUAAAUUUAUUGUCCAUCGUGUUCCUGCAGCCUCUCACUCAUAUUCGUGUAUCUCAUUUCAUAGCUUGGAUUUUGUAACUUGUUAAGUUUAUUGUGCAUAACCUUUAGAAAGAUACCGAAAAAGGUGUGUUAUGGACCUAGUAACUCCUUCCCUUUUUCCAUUCAUGCAUGUUUUUUCUCUUCUACUACAUAUUCUGGUUCAGAAAGAUCAGUUGGUUAUUGUUUCUCUUCUACUACAUAUUCUAGUUCAGAAAGUUCGGCUUCACGCGGGCUGAAAGUUCAGCUGGUGGGGCACUGGCAACAUCGACGUUUCGCUAUGUGGUGUAGGCUAUGGCAGUAGCACCAUUUUCCUCUUAAUUGUACCUUUUACGUUUCUGCUACUGCUAACAGAGGAGAAUAAUGGCCAGCACCGAGCCACUGUUGCUACCGCUUGUGAUUGAUUGCACCACUUACCAGGAAGAAGACAAAACGAAAAAAAAA